GUUCAUUGUCACGUGAUCGCCCGGUUGGCUGGCUGUGAUCCGUUGUAUCCCGCCUAGUCUCACUUUUGAGGCGAACUAUGUUGGCUAGUCAUCCGUCGUUCAUCUAAUGGUAUCGUUUCGUUUGAUAUAUUGCCGUAUAACAUCAUCUGUAAUCACAUGUCGGAAUUGGAAGAGAAAACAGAAGGAGGAGAUUACGAAUUUAAAGGCAUAGAAAGAACACUGGCCAACAUUAUUUGGCUGAGCAGUUGUAUUUGGUGCAGCUAAAGAAUUCUGGACCAGUCAUGAAUUGGAAUAUUUCUCGAUCAGAGGCAUCUCUUCCUGAAGAACUUAACUUAAGAUGGCGAGAGAGGAGGAAAGGCCAGGAAGGGGAAGGCGGGAAAGAGAGAGGAGGCGUCAGGCGGCAGGAAUGGGAAGGGAGGAGAGGCGUGAGGUGAUGGGAAGGAAUAGGCAAGUUGCCCGGCAAAUGCUUAUAGAAGCAGGAAGAAGAAUUGGUGACCCACCGUCACAGUUUGUGUCACGUACCCAUGGAUAAAGAGAGAAAGAACAUACGGGGCGAAGUUUAGGUCUGGAAAUUUGCUUGAAAAUGCAAAUAAAAAGCAAUGAAACUUAC